AUUGAACGCUGGUGGCAGGCCUAACACAUGCAAGUCGAGCGAGCGGCGGACGGGUGAGUAAUGUAUGGGGACUGCCCGAUAGAGGGGGAUCACUACUGGAAACGGUGGCUAAUACCGCAUACUUUCGGAUCCCCCAUAUGGGAUUAGCUAGUAGGUGGGGUAAAGGCUCACCUAGGCGACGAUCUCUAGCUGGUCUGAGAGGAGGAUCGGCAACACUGGGACGGAGACACGGCCCAGACGCCUACGGAGGCAGCAGGGGGGAAGAUUGCACAAUGGGCGCAAGCCUGAUGCAGCCAGGCCGCGUGUAUGAAGAAGGCCUUAGGGUUGUAAAGUACUGGCAGCGGGGAGGCGUUACCCGCAGAAGAAGCACCGGCUAACUCCGUGCCAGCCGCCGCGGUAAUAC
rnacentral:rRNA from 1 species